UACGAAGGGAGCUAGCGUUGUUCGGAAUCACUGGGCGUAAAGCGCACGUAGGCGGAUUUGUAAGUCAGGGGUGAAAUCCCGGGGCUCAACCUCGGAACUGCCUUUGAUACUGCGGGUCUUGAGUCCGAUAGAGGUGGGUGGAAUUCCUAGUGUAGAGGUGAAAUUCGUAGAUAUUAGGAAGAACACCGGUGGCGAAGGCGGCCAACUGGACCACAACUGACGCUGAGGCGCGAAAGCGUGGGGAGCAAACAGG
rnacentral:rRNA from 1 species